rnacentral:misc_RNA from 1 species
GGCGGGCAGCACCCCUCCUAAAAAAAAAUAAUAAUAAAACCUGAAUAUGCAGAAUGCUGUUCUCAUUCCAUUACACAUACUGCAACAAUUUGCGUUUUCGGAACUUAAAAAAUUCCAAUAAGGUUAAAAAUUUAUUUGACACAUUUGCCAUCAAACUUAUUCAUCUCAAUGGCAUGAAUAAGUUAAAUGAAGAUAAGUAAUUGGACAUUUGGCCACAAGAAAACUAACAAACCUCUCGUGCAGCCUCCAUGCUU